ACGAACGCUGGCGGCAGCCUAAUACAUGCAAGUCGAACGGCUCUUCGGAGCAGUGGCGGACGGGUGAGUAACGCGUGGGAAUGUGCCCUUUGGUACGGAACAACACAGGGAAACUUGUGCUAAUACCGUAUGUGCCCUUUGGGGGAAAGAUUUAUCGCCAUUGGAGCAGCCCGCGUUGGAUUAGGUAGUUGGUGAGGUAAAGGCUCACCAAGCCUACGAUCCAUAGCUGGUCUGAGAGGAUGACCAGCCACACUGGGACUGAGACACGGCCCAGACUCCUACGGGAGGCAGCAGUAGGGAAUCUUGCGCAAUGGGCGAAAGCCUGACGCAGCCAUGCCGCGUGUAUGAUGAAGGUCUUAGGAUUGUAAAAUACUUUCACCGGGGAAGAUAAUGACGGUACCCGGAGAAGAAGCCCCGGCUAACUUCGUGCCAGCCGCCGCAGUAAAAC
rnacentral:rRNA from 1 species